rnacentral:rRNA from 1 species
GCAGUCAGGGGAAAGUCUGAUUUCGAUUAGACAAGUAUACUGGCGGACGGGUGAGUAACGCGUAGGCAACCUGCCCUUACGAGUGGGAUAACCCAGCGAAAGCUGGACUAAUACCGCAUAAUAUUUGGAUAUCGCCUGUUAUUUAAAUCAAAGGUCGCUUUUCGGAGCGAUCACGUAAGGAUGGGCCUGCGUUCCAUUAGUUAGUUGGUGAGGUAACGGCUCACCAAGGCGACGAUGGAUAGCUGGUUUGAGAGAGUGAUCAGCCACACUGGGACUGAGAUACGGCCCAGACUCCUACGGGAGGCAGCAGUGAGGAAUAUUGCGCAAUGGAGGAAACUCUGACGCAGCAACGCCGUGUGGGGGAUGAAGUUCUAUGGAGUGUAAACCCCUGUAAGCAGGGACGAAUGUUACGUAGUCGAACAGGCUGCGUGAUUGACGGUACCUGCAGAGUAAGCUCCGGCUAACUCCGUGCCAGCAGCCGCGGUAAUACGGGGGGAGCAAGCGUUGUCCGGAAUUACUGGGCGUAAAGGGCGUGUAGGCGGUCUAAUAAGUCAGAUGUUAAAGCUCCCGGCUCAACCGGGGAACGUCAUUUGAAACUGUUAGGCUUGAGUGCGAGAGAGGGUAGUGGAAUUCCCAGUGUAGCGGUGAAAUGCGUAGAUAUUGGGAAGAACACCAGUAGCGAAGGCGGCUACCUGGCUCGCAACUGACGCUAAGGCGCGAAAGCGUGGGGAGCAA